rnacentral:rRNA from 1 species
GGUGAACGCUGGCGGCGUGCCUAAUACAUGCAAGUCGAGCGGUAAGGCCCCUUCGGGGGUACACGAGCGGCGGACGGCUGAGUAACGCGUAGGAACGUACCCCAAAGUGAGGGAUAAGCACCAGAAAUGGUGUCUAAUACCGCAUGUGCUCUACGGAGUAAAGCUUCGGCGCUUUGGGAACGGCCUGCGUCUGAUUAGCUUGUUGGUGAGGUAAAAGCUCACCAAGGCGACGAUCAGUAGCUGGUCUGAGAGGAUGAUCAGCCAGACUGGGACUGAGACACGGCCCAGACUCCUACGGGAGGCAGCAGUAGGGAAUUUUCCACAAUGGGCGAAAGCCUGAUGGAGCAACGCCGCGUGCA